UCAUCCCACCCAGGAAGCCAAGGUCAUGGUUCAACCCCAGUUAACUUGGCUCUGUUCCAGAAUCCCAGAUUGCAUCCUGGUCCUAGCCAGCUGCCACCUAGGCAGCCUGGUGGCUGCAUAAUUAAAUCAUCAAGUGCCAUUGUCACAGUCAUCCAGAAGGACUCAGAGAAGACCUUCCCACUGAGAACAUUGUCAGCAAAUGAGGAAGCUGGAAAGAUGGAGAGCUUUGAGGGAGACUGGGCCCUCUCAGCCGAGGGAGUCAGGGAGGCAUUAAUAGCAAGAGCAGCUGAGUGAGAUGGUGUACAUCUGUAAUUACAACACUCCAGGGGCUGCUGUGGGACCACCGGAGAGAGGCCAGCCUGGAUUUAUGGACCGAGACCCUGUCUUAAAAGAGAAAGGGGAGAGAUGGCUUUCACAUUUAACAUUCAGGGUCCAGUAUGAUCCUACCCCACUUGAGGCAAUAAGCUCUGUGGUCUUCUCUGGCAAAAAAACACAAUUUUCUUCA